rnacentral:rRNA from 1 species
UUUAAACGUCAUAGCGCGUUGAAUACACCGGUUCUCGUCCUGUCACCGAAGUUAAGCAACGUCGGGUGCGGUCAGUACUUGGAUGGGUGACUACCUGGGAACAACGCGUGACGAUGGAUU